GGGGAUCUUUCUACGAUUUCCGUGCCGUAGCCAACGCAUUAAGCGCCCCGCCUGGGGAGUACGGCCGCAAGGCUAAAACUCAAAGGAAUUGACGGGGGCCCGCACAAGCGGCGGAGCAUGUGGAUUAAUUCGAUGCAACGCGAAGAACCUUACCUGGGCUUGACAUACACCGGAUCGGCGCAGAGAUGCGUCUUCCCUUGUGGCUGGUGUACAGGUGGUGCAUGGUUGUCGUCAGCUCGUGUCGUGAGAUGUUGGGUUAAGGCCCGCAACGAGCGCAACCCUUGUCUUGUGUUGCCAGCACGUAAUGGUGGGGACUCGCGAGAGACUGCCGGGGUUAACUCGGAGGAAGGUGGGGAUGACGUCAAAUCAUCAUGCCCCUUAUGUCCAGGGCUUCACACAUGCUACAAUGGCCGAUACAGUGGGUUGCGAUACCGCGAGGUGGAGCUAAUCCCUUAAAGUCGGCCUCAGUUCGGAUUGGAGUCUGCAACUCGACUCCAUGAAGUCGGAGUCGCUAGUAAUCGCAGGUCAGCAACGCUGCGGCGAAUACGUUCCCGGGCCUUGUACACACCGCC
rnacentral:rRNA from 1 species